GGGGUUGUGGCUCAGUGGUAGAGUGCUUGCCUACCAAGCGUGAGGCCCUGGGUUUGAUUCUCAGCACCA
rnacentral:tRNA from 1 species